AUUGUUUCUCAGCCUUUUGGCUAAGAUCUAGUAUCUAUUCUCAUCAGUUUAAUGUCUGAUACGCCUCUGUCUGGAGACAUUAUAUUAAAUGUAUUUUUACAUUUAAUGGAGCAGGGAGAUGGAUAGAAGCUUGCUCCCUCCACUGUGCCCAUCAACCCAGUAUUGCAGUACUUCUGGGAAUGGAACACCAAGU